GCACCACAAGAACGCGUGGAGCAUGUGGCUUAAUUUGACUCAACGCGGGAAAUCUUACCGGGUCCGGACACACUGAGGAUUGACAGGCAAUAUCUCAUGGUUAUUAACCGGUUAUUUAUUUAAUCGGUUAUUAAGCAUCGAGUGUUAAAUAUGCUAGUCCUUUCAUGAUUAUGUGAUAGGUGGUGCAUGGCCGUUCUUAGUUCGUGGAGUGAUCUGUCUGCUUAAUUGCGUUUCACUAAGGGCCCAUAAAUUCAAGGUAUGUUAGCUAUCGUCGCUCUAUGGACCCCUUAUUC
rnacentral:rRNA from 1 species